AUUGAACGCUGGCGGCAGGCCUAACACAUGCAAGUCGAACGAGCGGCGGACGGGUGAGUAAUGUAUGGGAAUCUGCCUGAUGGAGGGGGAUAACUACGGGAAACUGUAGCUAAUACCGCAUACUAUAGGAUGAGCCCAUGUGGGAUUAGCUAGUUGGUGGGGUAAAGGCUCACCAAGCCGACGAUCUCUAGCUGGUCUGAGAGGAUGACCAGCAACACUGGGACUGAGACACGGCCCAGACGCCUACGGGAGGCAGCAGUGGGGAAUAUUGCGCAAUGGGGGCAAGCCUGACGCAGCCAUGCCGCGUGAAUGAAGAAGGCCUUAGGGUUGUAAAGUUCUUUCGGUAGCGAGGCGUUACCUACAGAAGAAGCACCGGCUAACUCCGUGCCAGCAGCCGCGGUAAUAC
rnacentral:rRNA from 1 species